rnacentral:lncRNA from 1 species
AGUCUCAGAAGAAGACAAUAUCAACAAGUUAAAUAAAUCAAGCACUUUUGCAAAGAAACUCUUUUAAUAUAGUAAUUGUUAUGUUAAAAAAGAAUAAGUACCACGAAUUAUUGCGGAUGUUUAUAGAUCAGUCGAAUUCUGAAUUGUUGUUGUCUGACCCAACUGAUACUCUUGCGAAUGCUAUUAGAAGAAUUGCCAAUUCUAAAUACUUCCUGCAACAAUGGGCGUUUAAACCUCUUAAUGCCCCAUACCCACCUAGAUUGUUCAGGUACGUAAAAACUCACAAAACACCUGUUAAUGU